AAUGUAGCCAACCAUAAGAAGAACUUGAUCAAAAUGUAAACACGCAAUCAAUGGCUAUUCUAUUUUCCGUCUUUGUACAUUUCUCUAGAAUCUGUCUUUGUUUUUCUGUGUGACGGCGUAAAGGGGUUUGUCAGAACGACUGUAGUUGUAGAGAAAGUCACUUGUCUGUGGGGACAGAAUGGAGCACACCUUGUUCUGUUUGCUACUAUUGCUGAGUACACACAUCUACUCUGGACACUCUGAAGAUGAUGAUGGACAGGCAAAGGCUGUUCUGACCAUACACCCCAAAUCCUCUCAGAUAUUCAGGGGAGAAUCUGUCACUCUCAGAUGCAACAUACUGAGGGGAAAAGUCACUGACUGGAAAUACACAUGGAGCAAGGAUGAUGGUGACUCAAUCAGUAGGAAGAAUGAAUAUGAGAUCAGUGAGGUUAAGAUGUCAGACAGUGGUGUCUACAGGUGUCUGGGUAGACAUAUUGAUCAGAGGAAGCAUUCUGAGUGGAGUGAUGCAGUCAGACUGACUGUGACAGCUCUGCCUGAAACUACACUGACCGUAAAUCCAAACCCUGCAUACACUGGAGAGACAGUAACUCUGACGUGUUCAGUGGGGUCUGGCAGUCGCUGGAGCUUUACAUUGUAUAAAGACAACACUAAGAAUGUAGUGACCUUGUCUGGCAGACACACUACAACAGGAGCCACCUUCACCAUCAGUAGAGCUGCUGAGUCUGACCAGGGUCUCUACUGGUGUCAGGGAGAGAUCCAGUCCAGAUCUAUAUCAACAAUCAUCAGUGAUCCUGUCACUAUCACUGUGAAAGCCCUGCCCAAAGCUACACUGACCAUAACACCAAACCCUGUGUACACUGGAGAGACAGUAACUCUGACAUGUUCAGUGGGGUCUGACAGUGGGUGGAGGUAUUCAUGGUACAAAGACAACACUAAGAAAGUAGUGACCUUGUCUGACAGACACACUACAUCAGGAGCCACCUUCACCAUCAGUAGAGCUGCUGAGUCUGACCAGGGUCUCUACUGGUGUCAGGGAGAGAUCCAGUCCAGAUCCAUAUCAUCAAUCAUCAGUGAUCCUGUCACUAUCACUGCGAAAGAGAGACCUGUGGCUGUUCUGACCCUCCAACCCAACUGGCCCCAGAUAUUCCGUGGGGAGACUGUCACUCUCAGUUGUGACAUACAGGGGGGAGAAGAGAUUGAGUAUGCUUUUUAUAACAGUGGGAAGUCGGUCUACACCAAAACAGAGCCUGAGUACAGAAUCAGUGCUGCAAAUAAUGGUCUAUAUACCUGUGAAGGUCUUCAGCAAAGAAAUGGCUUAAAACACUCCCAGACAAGUAAUGCUAUACAAUUGACCGUGUUAGAUCAACCCCAAGCUGUCCUGAGUGUCUCUCCUCAGUGGCUGAACCCUGGAGACUCAGUGAGUCUGAGCUGUGGGGUUAAAGAGUCAUCUACAGGCUGGAGGUUCUUCUGGUACCGAACUGUUCCCUACACAGCUGGGUUACUCUCCCUAUUGGACAGGUCCUACUCUGUAGAGCCUCUAUCUGGCAGUGGGACUAGUGAAGACUCCUACACUCUGAUCCCAGCUGGUCCUAGUCACACAGGAGGAUAUGUGUGUAGAGCUGGGAGAGGAGACCCACUCUAUGACACACUCUACAGUGAACCUCAGUUUCUCUGGUCAGGAGAUCCGCAACCUUCAGUGUCUCUCAAAAUUAGACCAAACAGAACUCAACACUUUACAUCAAAGUCUCUCUCACUAAGCUGUGAGGAGAAGAGGAACUCUACUGGAUGGAGACUGAAGAGAUACAGAGAGAAAGCAGUGGAAUCAGAGUGUGGCUCUAACUGGGGAUCAAUAGCAGGGUCCACAUGUACCAUCAGGUCCACAUACACAGGGGACAGUGGAGUGUACUGGUGUGAGUCUGGAUCAGGAGAGUACAGUAAUGCUGUCAACAUCACAGUGGAUGUUGGCCCUCUGAUCCUGGAGAGCCCUGCCAAUCCCAUGACUGAGGGAGACUCUGUGACUCUACGGUGUACAAAUAGAUAUCAGGAAACAAACCCAAUACCGAAGGUUGAUUUCUACAAAGAUGGAGUAUUCAUCAGGAAUGAGACCACAGGAGAGAUGACCAUCCCUGUAGUGUCCAAGUCAGAUGAAGGGUUCUAUAAGUGUAAAUCUAAUGAAGGAGAAUCACCAGAGAGCUGGGUGACAGUGAGAGGCGUAACUCCUGGACCCUCUACAUCAGUCCUAGUAGGAGUGGUUGUGGGCCUGGUUGUUGCUGGUGUUCUACUGGCCAUUCUCCUGGUACUGCUGUGUCGAUAUAAAAAUGCCAGAGGUUCCUGUUGCAACAGAAUAUUCUGGCCCCCCCAGCCCCAGAGCACCAACCUGGACCCCCAACAGGACCAACGAUCUACGCAGGGCCAGGCUCCUGAUGCUGAGUAUGCACAUCUGCAGCAUGGUGGUGCUAACAUCUACAAUACAAUCACUCUCUCAGACAAUAAUGACAGUGGUACUGUACACUAUGGUGCUGCUACUGCUGGACCAAGUGAUGUGAUGUACGCCCAGAUUCAACUCAAAAUGUUGGACAAGAAAAACAAAAUCCUCCUCCUCCUCCUCAGAAAUUCCAGCUGAUCCAAAAGAAAAUCCAGUCUAUUCUGAGGUCAAGACAAGGAAGACCACAGAAACUGCAAACCCACCUGAGGCAGAUUUGGUCUAUUCUCAAGUGAAGCCAGGCACAUCCCCAGGUCCUUGAGGGAUGGAGGGAUGGCGGGACACAGUAACACCUUGUACAUUAAGGAUUUUUUUCUUAUUUUAUUUAUCAACAGAUAUAUUGUAUUUAAGCAUGGUUUGAUUGUGUUUCACUGUAACAGCUUCUAAAAAUUAUAUGGAAUAAUGAUGAUGGAUCUUAUCUGCAGCUACAGUAAUUGUAUCUGGUUUGUAUUGUGUAUUGAAUUGUAUUGUUUUGUUGUAAAUGUAUUACAAUGGAUUAUCUUUGAUUUAUUAUGUCUGUUAUUCAGAUGAUAGAAUAACAUAUUUGUAUAUGAAUUUCCAAAAUAUUAUAAGUAUUAUUAAUGUUUUCUUCUAAUGGCUUGUACUUUUACAUUAUCUUUGCAUUGUGCUUUUUUAUAAACAUUUUUUUUUUAUCCAC